GACGAACGCUGGCGGCGUGCUUAACACAUGCAAGUCGAACGGAAAGGCCCUGCUUGCCGGGUACUCGAGUGGCGAACGGGUGAGUAACACGUGGGUGAUCUGCCCUGCACUUCGGGAUAAGCUUGGGAAACUGGGUCUAAUACCGGAUAGGACCGCACUUUAGUGUGUGUGGUGGAAAGUUUUUUCGGUGUAGGAUGAGCUCGCGGCCUAUCAGCUUGUUGGUGGGGUAAUGGCCUACCAAGGCGGCGACGGGUAGCCGGCCUGAGAGGGUGUACGGCCACAUUGGGACUGAGAUACGGCCCAGGCUCCUACGGGAGGCAGCAGUGGGGAAUAUUGCACAAUGGGCGCAAGCCUGAUGCAGCGACGCCGCGUGGGGGAUGAAGGCCUUCGGGUUGUAAACUCCUUUCGCUAGGGACGAAGCUUUUUGUGACGGUACCUAGAUAAGAAGCACCGGCUAACUACGUG
rnacentral:rRNA from 1 species